GGGAUGUGGCUUGGUGGCAAAAUACCCCUGAGUUAGAUCCCAGUAACAAAAAGAUCUAAAAAUAACAAUAAUAAUAAUUUCUUUUCUUUAUUCUGUCUUUCUGGAACUUCUAUUGUUUGGAUGUUGGGAUUUGGAGUUUAUUCUUUUUUUGACAUCAUAUUUCAUACAUUUGAGUUUAUUCUUGCUUUUAUUUUUUAUUUUUAGUUUUGGAUCAAACUCAGGAUCUUGUGCAUGCUAGGCAAGUGUUCUAACACUGAGCUACAUCUUGGUUCUUAUUCUUGCUUUUAAUCUCCUAUUUAGGAGAGCUUUCUUUUGUUCUCUACUUUGGGACAUUUUUCUUAAUUUUAUGGUCAUACCCUUCAAAUAAAUAUUUUUAUUUCAACACUCACAUAUUUUUUUGACCCUCACUUUUUUUUUAAGGGCUUUUGUUCUCAUUUCUUUUUGUGACCCUGUGUUCCUGCUUCCUGAAGAAGUCAUGAAGUUUAUUUCUCUAAAGAUAUUUAUUGAAGUAUUUUUUUUCCCUGGAUUUCUGUACCCUGUGUCUAUAGUUCCUAAAGAUGUCAUACUUUUUUUUUUUUGGUACCGGGGAUUGAAUUUAGGGGCACUCGACCACUGAGCCAUAUCCCCAGCCCUAUUGUAUAUUUUAUUUAGAGACAGGGUCUCAUGAGUUGCUAAGUACCUCUCCGUUGCUGAGGCUAGCUUUGAACUCAUGAUUCUCCUACCUCAGCCUCCCAAACUACUGGGAUUACAGGCAUGCACCACAGAGCCGGGUUAUAGUUCCUAAAUUUCUUUUGUGUUAUUUUGUCCUGUCUUUCACACCCAAGUCUUCCUCACUUGUUUGGUGAUUUCUUAUUCAAUGUUCAUUUUUAUUUAUUUAUUUUUAUGGUGCUGGGGAUGGAAUCCUUAGCCUCAUGGAUUCUAAGCAAUUGUGUGCGUGAGUGAGUGUGUGUGUGUGUGUGUGUGUGUGUCUGCGCUUGUUGGUUUUGGGGUUUCUUUGUAGGGUGAUUAAGUGUGGGGAAUGGAACCAUGUGAUUGGGAGACCUCAUGAAAAAUUCUCUGGUCUCUUACCUGGAUGGUGCAAGCCAAGUUGCCAGUAUUCUUGGAGGCCACCAGGAGAGAGGCACUGGGGUCUCAUCAUUCAAUGUAUGGUUUGGAGAGGAUUUUCUCCCCAAUUUCCCUUUCCCUUUAGAGUGUAGUGACUUAACCCCACCCUCAGUUGUACCCAGUCCUCUGAAGUAUGGAACUUCUCUAGUUUAGUUUCUCCAAAAAAUAAACUUCCUUUACCUGCUGGGUGAGAGUCAGGUAAAUGAUCUGACUUGGGCUUUGAAGUCCACAGUCUAAAUGCUCUGAAAAACACACCAUACUUUCAAGAACUCUUCCUGUCUUUAGCCCCCUGCCCCCCCAACCCCCAGUCUGCUUUCUGCAGUAGCUGGUGCCUCCAGUUCCGGAGCCUCUCUGGAGUUCAGAGGCACAGUGCCACUUGCUUCCAACGGGAUCUAGUUUCCAGUCUUCUUUGACCUGGUGCAUCCCUACCACUCACCCAUCUGCUCACAGGAUCUCAAGAUUCUGCAGAUGUCUCUUGUCCUCUGUUGUCUCCUUUGCCAUACUCCGUCCUUGUGGGUUCAUACCUUUGAAAAUCCUUGUUUUAUCUUUUUUUGUGUAGGGUUUUGGGGGAGGAAGUGAAGAUACAUGUAUUUAAUCCAACACGGUAACUUGUGACAGCAUCUUUUACUCCUACUGGAGCGGUAGGAGGGAAUCUACUUACACUUUU
rnacentral:lncRNA from 1 species